rnacentral:rRNA from 1 species
UACGAAGGGGGCUAGCGUUGCUCGGAAUGACUGGGCGUAAAGGGCGCGUAGGCGGUUCAUACAGUCAGAUGUGAAAUUCCCGGGCUUAACCUGGGGGCUGCAUUUGAUACGUGUGGGCUUGAGUGAGGAAGAGGGUUGUGGAAUUCCCAGUGUAGAGGUGAAAUUCGUAGAUAUCGGGAAGAACACCCGUGGCGAAGGCGGCUCUCUGGGACGGUACUGACGCUGAGACGCGAAAGCGUGGGGAGCGAACAGG